rnacentral:tRNA from 1 species
GCUGUGGCUCAGUGGAAGAACCUCUGCUUUGCAUGCAGAAGAGCCCAGGUUCAAUACCUCGCAUCUCCA